GAUGAACGCUGACAGAAUGCUUAACACAUGCAAGUCAACUUGAAUUUGGGUUUUUAACUUAGGUUUGGGUGGCGGACGGGUGAGUAACGCGUAAAGAACUUGCCCCACAGCUAGGGACAACAUUUGGAAACGAAUGCUAAUACCUAAUAUUAUGAUAAUAGGGCAUCCUAUAAUUAUGAAAGCUAUAAGCGCUGUGAGAGAGCUUUGCGUCCCAUUAGCUAGUUGGAGAGGUAACGGCUCACCAAGGCGAUGAUGGGUAGCCGGUCUGAGAGGGUGAUCGGCCACAAGGGGACUGAGACACGGCCCUUACUCCUACGGGAGGCAGCAGUGGGGAAUAUUGGACAAUGGACCGAGAGUCUGAUCCAGCAAUUCUGUGUGCACGAUGAAGUUUUUCGGAAUGUAAAGUGCUUUCAGUUGGGAAGAAACAAAUGACGGUACCAACAGAAGAAGUGACGGCUAAAUACGUG
rnacentral:rRNA from 1 species